rnacentral:tRNA from 1 species
GUUGGAAUGUAGCUCAGUGGUAAAGCACUUGCCUCAUGUACAAAGGUCCUGGGUUCCAUCCACAGUGUCAAAG